ensembl:lncRNA
CUCCCGUUGCGAGUUCCGAUCCAGUGUCGCUGGAGUUCCACCACCCGCCCCCAGGCCACAGCCUCACGCAUGCGUCCAGGAAGAUCCAAGUGUUGUGACUCCAGAUUUUGCAGACGGGAUGAGAGCAGAGUGGAGACAGCCAUUGGAGGCAGGGAUCCUGUUGGUCUGUGGCCAGCUGGACCCUCAGUGUCUGGGCACGGGAUGUGGGGAGACUGCAGAGGAAAAGCAAGUGUUCCAGCCCCAUCUGCCACUGUCGAAGAAUGGAUGGUUUUGAACUGUGGUGUUGGGAGCUCUUGAGAGCCCUUUGGACUGCAAGGAGAUCCAACCAGUCCAUCCUAAAGGAAAUCAGUCCUGAAUAUUCAUUGGAAGGACUGAUGCGGAAGCUGAAACUCCAAUACUUU